AUUGAACGCCGGCGGCAGGCUUAACACAUGCAACUCGACCGGGGUGAUGGUGCUUGCACUAUCACUUAGCGGCGGACGGGUGAGUAAGGCCUAGGAAUCUGCCUCUUCGUCGGGGACAACACCUCGAAAGGGAUGCUAAUACCGCAUACGUCCGCCGGGAAAGAGCAGGGGAUCCCUUGUGACCCCGCCCUCAUACCUCAGCCCAAGUCGGAUUAGCGAGUUGGUGGGGUAAAGGCCUACCAAGGCGACGAUCUGUAGCGGGUCUGAGAGGAUGAUCCGCCACACUGGGACUGAGACACGGCCCAGACUCCUACGGGAGGCAGCAGUGGGGAAUAUUGGACAAUGGGGGGAACCCUGAUCCAGCCAUGCCGCGUGUGUGAAGAAGGCCUUAUGGUUGUAAAGCACUUUAAGCGAGGAGGAGGCUCUUUUGGUUAAUACCCAAGAUGAGUGGACGUUACUCGCAGAAUAAGCACCGGCUAACUCUGUGCCAGCCGCCGCCGUAA
rnacentral:rRNA from 1 species